CCCUUCCUUUUUUUUUGUAUCAGGUUCUCAACCCUGGUUACCCAAAAUCUCCAAAGGAUUCCAACAUGGCUUAGCUCAACUGAUAUGCAAACAAACCACCCUGAGCUUGCUCUAAUUAAUAAUUCUGAACCAGACUCACAGAGUGGCACUGUCAAGUAGCUCUUUGGUGAUUUACAACACCUCCUCCGUGAGAUUCACAUUGCUGCAUGCAAAUGAGCUGCCACCCCUGUGAAUCCUUCAUUUUAAAAUACAAUGUGCCGUCUUGUUGACUACAGGAAUGCCCUUAUCUUCACAUAUGACUUAAUGGAGACAAAUGUCUGACUUGGGCAGGUUUGUGGAACCUUUCAUGGACACACACCUACACAGGAUGUCAUUUCAGAAAUGUUUAGGAGGUGAAUUUUGUGUUCACAGUGGAGAAACUGAGGAAAAGACAAGGUCAGAGAAGGUCAGGAAGAUAUGCUACCAGCUGGGGUUGGCAGCAGUGGAUUCAUACAAGGAGACCUCAUUUUCUCUGAAAAAAGACUUCCAAAU